AGCUCUCUCCUCCUCCUGCUUUCUCUGCUGUGUCAUAUGACUUCCUUUACUUAAAAUCCUUCUGAAAGCCCUCUGUGAGCCUUUGGGUACGGGGAAGAUGAAAAUUCUGACAGAGGGGCGUCCCUGCCAACCAGCGGGCCUUCCUCCCACCUGGAUCAUCCUGCGCAGCAAGCUGGCACAGGGAGAGCUCAUCCGGCUUCCCCUGCCAAGCAGCUGAACAUUUCCAAAGGGACGAACGACAGUGGAAGAAGUUAAGGAUGAGGAGGAGGGAGGAAGAAUGCCUAGGAUUUCUGCCAUCUUCGCUGCAGCCCUGAAUCCCCUUUACUUCUUUGAUGCGGGCUACAGUCCCCAGCCCUCCCCCACCCUCCCCUGCCCUCUGCAGCAGGAGGGUGGAGGAGGGGCCGCUGGCUGGAGCUCCAUGUGGCAGAGCUGUAGCUGUCACUUACCCAGCGGGGUGAGAAAGGCUCAUUUUUGCAGGAUCUUGCUGGACCCCGGCAGGUGCUGCCCGGCCCGGGUGCGCGCUGCGGUGGCUUUGGCUGCAGGAGCCCUGAGCGGCCGGGCGUCUCCACAGCUACUGCCGGUUGCUAAGGGAGGAGGUGCGGGCGCAGAGGCACCACUGGAACCAAGCCUGGGAAGCCGCAAAACGAAGCCAACUUCCACCAGUUUUUCUGGGCCGCAGUGUGGGAGGAGACCCAGACCCGGUCCCUCUGUGUUGUUCUGGGGCGCGGGUUCCCAAGCACCUGUAAUAUGCAAACACAAACACACACGCGAGCGGGCACACACACACACACACACACACACACACACACAGAGCUAGGCUGGGGCGCUUCCUGCUGGGCCCAAGGGAAGGAAGGACUCAGGGUACCUGCAGGGACAGGGACAGGAAAUGCCAUGGUUUCCAUUCCUAAAAUAGACACCAACAGCGUGUUCAAGAGACAGAAAAAGGGCACCUUUCUCAACAUGGUUGUGAAUUUGUUUCUGCCUCAGAAGGCCUGGCCUUCCGGCUUGGAGAUGCCCCAUCCUUGCUCCUCCCCGAGGUCUCUGCCGGUCAGAAAUGGAAGAUUUGCAGUUACACAGGAAAGGGGACUGGGACAGUGCAUACCUUGGGACCCAACACUGUGACGCAGGGCUUAGAGAAAGGAGCCUGAAAGUCGUAAGAAGGCCUUGGUAGGCGAGGCAGACUUCAGCACUGGGGUCCACUCACCUACUACUGCUGCAGGCCUUGUGCUGGGUGACUUAAACCCUGGUUUCACCGAUAGGGUGGGCCCCACAGGGGAGACUGUGCUCACUGUGGGUCUCUAUUGUAGUUCACACACCGUCACCCCCACCCAUGCCACCUUUUUAAUGAUGUUCUGCUUUUCUGAGUGUCAUGAAGGCCACCUGGGCAUGGCAGUGUCCCAUUUCCUUAGCAUGAUAUGUGAGUAUCCUUCAUCAGCCUGCACCUGGGCCACUUUCUCCCCUCCACUACCUGAAACUCUAGCAAAAUCCAGCUCUCACACUUUCCCUCUCCUGGAAAUAUAAUUCUACUCUUGACUACCUAGAAAAUGUCUGCUUAUUCUUCAGCACUCAGCUCGGACCCUGCCUGCCUUGAGAUCUUCCAAUCAGCUUGAGAUUCCUGCCAGGGCUGGCCUUGGCUUGUGCACCCAUGGGCUUGAACAAACAUCUGUCUUACACUCAUCCAUCUGGACUGCACUUGCCUGUGCAAGGAGCUGCCUUUGAACCACUCAGACGCAAGCCUCUCUAUUUUGUACAUUGAUUGUGUUUUUCUAUGUUUCCAGAAGCAAGCUGCAAUUUAACAAAUGUUUGGAGCAAAAAAGGAAGGAAAAGAAAUGUCUUCUAAGUGGUAGGAUUUUUAUUGAGUACUUAGUAAAUGCUUCUCUCAGCCUUUUAUGGAGCACUUACUUACUGUCCCUUAUCUCAUUUAAUCUUCCUCUCUACUCCCUGAAAUAGGAUUUCGCCUCCAUUUCAUAGCUAUCCUAACUGGGACACAGAAAAGUUCAUUAUUUUGCCUGAAGUCUAUAAGCGGAAAACUUGGGAUACAAACCCCGAUCUGUCUGAGUCCAGGACUGUAAUAAUUUUAACAAUCGUAAUAAGAUUUUUUUUUUCUCCACAUAUGCCUGUAAGUUGCUACCAAAGUCAGAUUUCUAUACCAAGAGACAUAUGAGGAGGCGAGAGGGAAUGAAAAAAGAAGAAAAAAAAGAUGCUAACUCAGUAUCUCAGCUCUCGAGACUGAAGGGUUCAAAGCUGCUGUGGGAACCAGAUGGCUGAAACUAGAGAGACAGAAGUCACUAUUUUCCCCAUGUAUUUCCUCUCCCACAUUGGACCAUGGGUCCCAUUUGAGGUUGCCCUUAAUGUUCACAAUUAUUGGAUUUCACCUGGAUAAAAAUUGGAGGGAAGGGGAAGGAUGAGAGAGAGACAUAAUUUUCUCCAGGUGCUUUCAGUCCCUCAGUCUCCCAGACCACCUCUUACAGAAAGAAGUCUUACUUGUUUCAUAUUAAUUCAUUUUUUUUUCCAAAUAGAAAAUGGUAUUCUCUCACUGGUAGAAUGAGAAAGAAAAUUCAAAUACACUAUUUAGAUACUUAGGAUUCUGUAGAAAUGAUUCCCCGGCACUCUACAGAGAGUGAGGUACCCUCAGCAGCAUGUAUUAAUUCAUAAAUGGGGUUUGAGUUCUCCACCCCUGUGAGCUGUACAAUUUCACAUCCCUGAUGAAAACUGCAAGGAAGCUACUAAUUUUCACUUCUGAAAAUGCUCACUGUGAAAAUGCAUUGGGAAUUUAGCCAGAAGGAAUUUUUAUGUUAAUUUCUAGUAUGGAGAAAGGAGCAGGGAAUAAAGAAAAAGAAAAAAUAAAGUAAAAUAAAAUAAAUUCAACUGUUUCAAGACCAAA